GAGGGGAGUCUGUGGUCUUGGGCAAUUAAAGGCACCCUCCUUGCCCGCGCGCCCACCCGCCGUCCUCUCCCACUGGCGCGGCAGCAAAAUGGCUUCCAGCCCUGGAAGGGUUCCAUUGUGACCUCAACAGGGAAGGCGGGCGUGGGCAUCGCAGGGGAACUGCCGGGGCGGUUGGUGACAUGUGGGCCUACCCUUUAGCCCCACGAGAAAGGAGGAGGUCACGGGCGCUCCCUUGGGCCACGGUUCUGAUUUGGGGUGUUCUUGUGGGGCGAGGGUUCAUGGAAGCUGCAGCUGGCCCUUUGAGUGGAAAGGCGGCGGAGAAAGAGAGACCAAUGGCAACUUCUGUUCUCUUAAAUUAUUGAAAGAGAAUCCUGAUCUUUUGGGAUGAAACCAACCAAACAUUUCAUUUGAUGACAGCCGUCUGGCUAACUUCUUUCCGACAGGACCUGGCAGGUGUCCCACCAUUCACCGCUACAUCCCCCGUGAUUCGAAAGCCUUCAUCCCUAUAGCCCGCUCAAAGGGUUUCUCCAUCUUGUGCAGAGUAAAUGCUUCUUCCCGUUGUGAGUGGGUUCUGCUUGUCAACAGAGGGCGCUCUUACUAUUUCAACAUGGACCUGAAAGACCAUCUCAUCCUACAUAAUAAGGGCCUUGUUGUCAAGCAUAUGAGCAAAGAGCUGGAAGGGGAGUACCAAGUCCUCUCAGGACUUAACAGAACUUGUGACGGACAGGUCUUGCUGACAGCUGUGGGUCCAUUGUUUCUUUAUCGGAUUUUCCUACUGCUCCCUGCGAUCAUGUUCCUUGGUGGACUGGGUGCGCUGUGGGACUGGCUGGUUGUAGAGCGCAAUCGGCUUGCAGCCUCUGAAGAGGAACAAAACAUCAAUAACAGGAUUCAGCAUGUCUUCCCCCCACUGGAUUUGAAUACCAGCUUAUAAUGGAAAUGUAGUCAAGUCUCUCACUGAUUAAGGAAACAACUCGUAUAUAACCCUGUUUGCUCUGUAUGUGUGGCUUAUAAAUAUGUCCCAGCUUUUGCAAAUGUCCUGCUGCAAUCCUGAUUCUAUUUCAUUUACUUUCAAAAUCUUCUGUGUGUGCAUUUAGUAAAAUGUAUAAAAUUUUGUGUUUAUUUUGUUCCUCAUUGUUUGAGGUAUUGCACGUGUCUGGUAUUGUUUGUUUCCUUUGUUGUCAACCACCCAGAAUACUGUAUUGCACUAAAAGGGUAGUACAGAAGUGACAGGAAAUGAAAUGAACAGAACAGUUUUUGUAGUUGUCCUGGAUGAUUUGUUGAUUAGGGUUCAAACCUUUUUUCCCCCAGGAAUA